CGGUUGACUGAGCGGCGGACGGGUGAGUAACGCGUGGGUAACCUGCCUCAUACAGGGGGAUAACAGUUGGAAACGGCUGCUAAUACCGCAUAAGCGCACAGUACCGCAUGGUACGGUGUGAAAAACUCCGGUGGUAUGAGGUGGACCCGCGUCUGAUUAGGUAGUUGGUGGGGUAACGGCCUACCAAGCCGACGAUCAGUAGCCGACCUGAGGGGGUGACCGGCCACAUUGGGACUGAGACACGGCCCAA
rnacentral:rRNA from 1 species